GGGGCCCGUAGUCUAGCGGUAUGAUGCCCGCCUCACGCGCGCGGGUGGUCCCGGGUUCAAAUCCCGGCGGGCCC
rnacentral:tRNA from 1 species